rnacentral:rRNA from 1 species
UACAGAGGUCCCAAGCGUUGUUCGGAUUCAUUGGGCGUAAAGGGUGUGUAGGUGGCGCCGUAAGUCGGGUGUGAAAUCUCGGGGCUUAACUCCGAAACUGCAUUCGAUACUGCGGUGCUUGAGGACUGGAGAGGAGACUGGAAUUCAUGGUGUAGCAGUGAAAUGCGUAGAGAUCAUGAGGAAGACCAGUGGCGAAGGCGGGUCUCUGGACAGUUCCUGACACUGAGACACGAAGGCCAGGGAGCAAACGGG